AUUGAACGCUGGCGGCAGGCCUCACACAUGCAAGUCGAGCGGAGCGGCGGACGGGGGAGUAAUGCCUAGGAAUCUGCCUGGUAGUGGGGGAUAACGUCCGGAAACGGGCGCUAAUACUGCAUACUAGAAGAGUAGCCUGGGUCGGCUUAGCUAGUUGGUGGGGUAAAGGCCUCACAAGGCGACGAUGCGUAGCUGGUCUGAGAGGAUGAUCAGUCACACUGGAACUGAGACACGUUCCAGACUCCUACGGGAGGCAGCAGUGGGGAAUAUUGGACAAUGGGCGAAAGCCUGAUCCAGCCAUGCCGCGUGUGUGAAGAAGGUCUUCGGAUUGUAAAGCACUUUAAGUUGGGAGGCGUUACCAACAGAAUAAGCACCGGCUAACUUCGUGCCAGCAGCCGCGGUAAUAC
rnacentral:rRNA from 1 species